GCCAGUGUGCUGUAGUGGUACGAGGGUUGGACCACGACUCUGGAGGCCAAGGUUCGAAUCCUGGCUUGGUCA